rnacentral:rRNA from 1 species
AACUUUCAACAACGGAUCUCUUGGUUCUGGCAUCGAUGAAGAACGCAGCGAAAUGCGAUAAGUAAUGUGAAUUGCAGAAUUCAGUGAAUCAUCGAAUCUUUGAACGCACAUUGCGCCCCUUGGUAUUCCGAGGGGCGUGCCUGUUCGAGCGUC